rnacentral:lncRNA from 1 species
CCCGCCUAGCUUCUCCUAGUUGCUAGAAGGCGAACUGCGAAUGCCACUCGGAGAAGAGCCAGGUGUCGCUGUGGUCCUCUACAAAUGCGCCGCCGCCGCACUCCUCGGCCUUAUAGGUUCCAGGAAAGCCCCGCCUAAGACGGAUCUUGGCCUCUCCUCAUCCCUUCCAGGUCCUUCUGAAGAUAUAUUUAUCAAGGCAGUUUUCACCAGUGAAAUUGACCAAUUCAUCAACUGCUCACCAGGCACCGGGGAAGUCACAGUCAGACCUACAUUCGCCUUCAAAUAACAUUCUCAGGUUAGGAACUGGCCAUGACUAAAAGAGCAGAGCUGUAGAAACAUUGGGAGCAUGACCUGUGUACUCAAGUGAAAACCACAGUGUCAAGAAGGAAGCGUUGACACUCAGUGAACAUGCUAAAAACCAAUGAUGAAGGUAUUCUAUUUUUUUUUUAUUUUUUAUUUGUUCUUUUGUCUUUUUGCCUUUUCUAGGGCCGCUCCUGCAGCAUACAGAGAUUUCCAGGCUAGGGGUCUAAUCAGAGCUGUAGCCGCCAGCCUACACCAGAGCUACAGCAAUGAGGGAUCCGAGCUGAGUCUACAACCUAUACCACAGCUCACGGCAAUGCCGGAUCCUUAACCCACUGAGCAAGGCCAGGGAUCGAACCCAAAACCUCAUGGUUCCACAGUUGGAUUCGUUAACCACUGAGCCAUGAUGGGAACUCCCAAAGGUACUCUUUAAAUGCGUGGGUUCUCUCACAGCUGAACUAUAUCUCGAUAAGGCACUUUUUUUAAAAAAUGAAAUGUUUGCCGUCAGAGACCCUGUGACAGAGGCUGUGAGCAGCUCAGAGACUAUGUGUUCAUGUGUCAGUUAACUUUGUACAAAAUGUGAAGCCAAACGUUAUUUACUGACUGAUUUGUUUAACAUCUGGGCUCCAACACACACAUGCUGCGAUAAGAGAGCUUGUAGAAACAAAAUCUGAAAGCCACGUGCUGCUGGGUGCUGGUGAAAGAGGGUAGCAAUCUGCAGUGAGAAGCUGAUGAGGUAACUGUCUGAAACCGGGGUGACCUGAAGCGCAGCUCAGUUCAAAUAAAUAGGCCAAUGCCAGGUCA